AAUCAGAAUAUACUACAGUUGUACCUUCCAAAUCAAGAGUCAAGUUCUCCUAUGCAUGAACUCAGGCAGAAAACAGCUAACCAGAAAGAGGCCAACAUGUCAACAAGUAUCAGUAGAAAAAAGAUGUAACAAGACAGUUCUGCUCCUGGCACUUCUUUUGGAUGAUCCCAAACAAGUUCCUUCGCUCUCUUGAAUGGCUUCUUUACAAUGGAAAAUGGAGGGAAAAGUCAUCUAGGUGAACUAGAAGCACGCAUUUCAAAUAGACCAGAUGAACUGGGUCCUGGCCCAUGGAUAACACAAGACACAGCAUUCAAGGGCAGGCUGUCUG